rnacentral:rRNA from 1 species
UGCCAGCCGCCGCGGUAAUACGGGGGGGGCAAGCGUUGUUCGGAUUUACUGGGCGUAAAGGGCUCGUAGGCGGCCAUUUAAGUCGGUUGUGAAAUCCCUCGGCUCAACCGGGGAACUGCGACCGAUACUGAGUGGCUUGAAGCCGGGAGAGGGAUGCGGAAUUCCAGGUGUAGCGGUGAAAUGCGUAGAUAUCUGGAGGAACACCCGUGGCGAAGGCGGCAUCCUGGACCGGUCUUGACGCUGAGGAGCGAAAGCUAGGGUAGCAAACGGGAUUAGAUA